UCCUGCCAUCGCACCAAAUGGGGGGUAGUGGUGGUCUGGUCUCACCUCACCGCUCCUGGCUUCCUCCGGCCACACCGGGUCAGAUGACAUGUUACUUUCUUUGUUUCGGGAUUUGCAUGGGAGGCGUACCUCCCCGCCUCUCAUUAUCAUAUUGUCUCUAUAUAAUCUCAUGAAUGUGUUUCUUCGGGGCUUCCUGAUGAAAUCUGAGACUCACAGGAGCCCGAAUCGAUUCGUGUUGCGUUGCGAUAAACUGAAGAAAAGACUACGUGGUGUUGGGUCUUCUUCCACCUUAUAGAGAGAUAAAAGAAUCUGUAACCAAGGAAGGGCCAAGAGCAAAUUGACAGCUCCCAUUCCUCAACAAAUGGCGUCACGAACAGGGUCUCUCUGGAAAAAGACCGACACCGGUUUCAGGACCUUCAGACUCAGGCAGUAACCAAGGAGCGCUCCACUAUAACCAGGUAAGACACACCUGUUCCUGUUAUUACGGGCAAAGUGUCAAGAUUCGGCUUAUGUCCAAUAAGGACCGAUCAAAUCAAACUGCUCUGAACCUGAAUGUGUUGAACCAAGUAUAGUGAUUGGGUCUUGUAGGUGGCAAAUAACAAAUUGAUAAUGAGUUUGUAGGCAAUUAAAAAAAAUUAGUGGUUAAUUGCUAAGGCAGGUCCAGGUAAUUUUUAUUAUUCUGGAUGCUGAUAAAUUGUAGGACUGACGAAUGGAGAUCGCGGUCUGAGUAGACAGCUGAGCAGAGACCAUACUGAGUUUGUUUAGGCAAUUAAAAAAUUAGUGGUUAAUUGCUGAGGCAGGUCCAGGUAAUUUUUAUUAUUCUGGAUGCUGAUAAAUUGUAGGACUGACGAAUGGAGAUCGCGGUCUGAGUUCGAAGGCAUUUAAAAAAUUAGUGGUUAAUUGCUGAGGCAGGUCCAGGUAAUUUUUAUUAUUCUGGAUGCUGAUAAAUUGUAGGACUGACGAAUGGAGAUUGCGGUCUGAGUUCGAAGGCAUUUAAAAAAUUAGUGGUUAAUUGCUGAGGCAGGUCCAGGUAAUUUUUAUUAUUCUGGAUGCUGAUAAAUUGUAGGACUGACGAAUGGAGAUCGCGGUCUGAGUUCGAAGGCAUUUAAAAAAUUAGUGGUUAAUUGCUGAGGCAGGUCCAGGUAAUUUUUAUUAUUCUGGAUGCUGAUAAAUUGUAGGACUGACGAAUGGAGAUCGCGGUCUGAGUAAACAGCUGUAUAUUUAGGGCAAGUUAGGGACAGCUCCAUUGUUACAAUUGGAGAAUUACGUGACGUCACACGGUCCAUAAGGGAGUAUAUUGGACGGUGAGUAUGAUAAAAACAUGGUGAACUGUAAGGUGGACGGAACGCCUGAAGGCAAGAAAACGGUUGAAAUACCGUCUGGUGGUAAGUAGGAAAGAAAGGAAGGCGAAUGCAUUGCGCAGAGAGAGAAAAGGGCGAAUGCACUGCGCAGAGGGGAAGUAAAGCGAGAAAAUAAGGUCUUAAGAAUAAAUUGUAAGAAUAAGACAAUAGUUUGAAAUAUAAAAAGAAAAAACUAAGUGUAUUCAAUUCGAGCUAUAAUAAUAAUAUAAUAAUAAUAAUAAUACAUUUUAUUUGUGGGGUCUUUCUAUGAACUCAAGGACACCUUACAACAAGCAGUUAAAAUCACGAAUACAAUGUUAAGAUCAACAUCAAAUAAAAUAAGAAAAAAAUACAACAACAGAAAGAAUAAUGGCUCUAUGGUCUGAGUGAAUAGGCUUGUCCAAACAGAUGUGUUUUGAGGCGGAAUUUAAAAUGUGUUAAUGAGUCUGUAUUACGAAGGUCAGCGGGGAGUGUGUUCCAGAGCUGGGGAGCAGAUCGACUGAAGGCUCUGUUUCCCAUGGUGACAAGACGAGCAGGGGAGGCAGAGAAAAGAAGAGAGGAGUAGGAACGAAAAGAGCGGACAAGUGUAGGAAUGUGGAUGAGGUCAGAUAGGUAUGGAGGGGCUAGGUUAUGGAUGGCUUUGAAUGUGAGGAGUGAGAAAAGAGCGGAGCCGGUGGAUGUUUCUAAGAUGAUAAUAUGAUGUGGUUGAUAUGCGAGGGGAAAAGAGAGGGUCAAGUUGACAAGUAGAGGUUCUUCUAUAUAUUGCAUUUCAUGGGCAGUUUGACCACUGCCUUCGACAUUGGAAAAAGAAAAAAAAGAA